CUACGUGACGAAGCGCGCGCCAAAGUAGACAAUAAAGGCUGAGCUUCGGGACAGUCGCCCCAGACGCCGGUUCUACCGGCGUUUUUUU
rnacentral:sRNA from 1 species